UGUUGACAAAUUGGCAAGCGUACCAAAUCGUUCAAGUAAUAAUAAAAUGGUAAGUCCAAGUAUCGUUUUCCCAAGAGACUCACGGCACUAAACUGUUGUGCUUUUGCUUAACCAAUCAAGACUAUAAAAAUAAUAUUUUGGGAUUUUUAUAAAGUGCAGAAAAAUAAACAUGAAUGCAAUUUGAUCAAUUGAGGUUAAACACAAAACAAUGGAUGAAUGGAUGUUUUUGAGUACUAACAAUUUCAUCUCUUCCACUAUCUCUUACAUACUACCCUUGAAUAUUAGUUGAUUGAUUCAAUUGUUAUGCGACUUUCUUAGCCUCCCCUCAACCCGAUCCCUCGGCGAAAAGGACCUAAUAUUAACUACUGGCUUGCUAUCCCUAGCCUCCCCUAGUAAUUAAUACCGCAUUAUAAACAGAAGUUAGCGCAAUUGAUCGUCCUACCCCUAUCUCUAGGUGGUAUUGCAAAAUCAAGAGAUUACUCACCAGUUCAUGUUAUUACUGUACGUCCCCUAUCAAUAGAGACAAACAUCAAUAUACCGAAUGAGUUAAACGAUAAAGGCCUUAAGCACAGAUGAUAACCCAACAAUAAUCAAUCAAAACAUAUGGAGACCAUAUAAAUAAUCAAUAGUUUCAAUAAGAGAGAGUAUCAAAAGAUUACAUUAUUUUCCCCAACAACAAUAGGAUUUAGUUUACCAUCAUCAUGGAGAAACUAGG
rnacentral:lncRNA from 1 species